AGUUACAGGUAACCAUGGUUGCUAUGAACUAAUCAUAGAUCCUUCAUAAGAGCUGUAAGAGCUCAUACCCACUAAGUCAUAUAUCUACAUCCCCAUAGUAUAUCUUGCGGUUAAGAUAAUUUACAUGAAAAGGUCUGAAACAUAUAGACCUUUAGAGGUAUGGAAGACCUAUAUUACUGGAAGCCAUUAAAACUCAUGUUCAUCUCCACAAGGUUGAGUCAUUGUGAGGAGAUAGUGUCUCGCUCAGAGAUACAGUUCCCAGUUUCCCUGUACUUAACUGGAAAGCAGACUAUUGUAGAAAAAGAAAGUAUGAAUGCCAGUGGUCCAGCCAUUCUGGGAAUUGUUGAAGAGGUAGAUGAGUCUUUACCCAUCUUUUUGUUGUUCUAAAUAAGGAAAGUUCCAAGCAAGUGCAGCCAUAAUACAGAAAGUAGCCUGAAUCUCAAAAUGACCAUGGGUGAUAGGCACAGGGAAGGUAGAAGGUUGUCAAAAGUGAAUAUGUAUAUAAGUUUGAAUUGUAAGUCAAAACUCAUUGUUGUUGUUUGAAAUUAGUGGGAUUUGGAUACUUAACCUGUUAAAGCAGCAAGCACCACAUUAACAGAUAUAGGCAUUAAUAAACACUUGGGAAGAGUUCUGAUCUUUGUUUAUCCCAGAACCUUAUAAUUUCCAUAGAAAAGGCUGAAUCACACCAAUACUGCAGCUUGUGAGAAGACAAAUAUAUCCCCUGACUGCUGACCAUUCUUCUCCACUCUGCCUUGGAAGAUGGUUUUCCUAAAUACCAUUAAGCUCAUUUUCAUUGCUCAUCUUUCUUUAAUUUAACCAUCUUUCUCCACUCUUCCAUUCCCCCCCCCACACACUGCUUUCCUUUGUCUUUUAUCACCUCUUCCAUUAUAAUGAAAAGGUUUAUUUUUCCUUAAAGACAAUAGCACUUAAAACUUGUAGCUAUCUUCAUUCUGCCUCACAUGAGGGGAACAUUUAUCUUAAUGUAAUAUUUUAAUGAGUAAAUGUCAUUUCUCUAACAUGAAAGAACAAUGAAGGGAGAUGAGAAUAAAAGUUAUGUGCACUGAGAAGAUUUUUUGGUGUAUUUUAGAACAUACACAAUAACAUAGAAAAAUAGGUCAUGGAUUUGAAAGAGAACAAAGAGAAUACAUUUGAGGGAUUGGAAGGAAUAAAGGUGUAAAUGAUGCAAUUAUAACUGCAAAAAUAAAUUAUUAGAACACCAGGGCCAAAAAGGGGGAGUGGGUGGGUAGGGGAUUGGGGGGGUGGGUAUGGAGGACUUUUGGGAUAGCAUUGGAAAUGUAAACGAGGAAAAUAUCUAAUAAAAAAUUAAAGAUCAUAAAAAAAAUUAAAGAUCAUAAAAAAAGAAAAAGAAUAAAAGAAAAUAAAACUUGGAUAGCAUGCUAGAAAUAACACUUUACCUUUUAUCUAUAGGAGUGUGUUGGUAGGAGAGAGUUGUGCGGGGUGAAUUAAACUCUGUAGUAUUGACCCCUACUGGACAUUUAGCUGUGUUCAGCUGAGAUCCAGGAACCACUGAGAUGUUCACAAAAGCAAGACUUUCCUCUAGAAGCAGAAAAGUGAAAACUGGUUAUGAAUGAUGAAGGCAGCUCUGGCGAUUUUGGCUGUGCAGCAUCCCCUCCCAUUACAGUCAUCUUCCAAAUUGACAAUAUAUUUUCAACUAAUGGGGUCCUUGGCAUCGCUGUUAUUUCGGGAGUUAGGGGGGUGUCAAAUGUGGUAGCAUUAGUAUGGCCGAUUUUAUGGGUUGAUCGCACCUGAAAGUUGAAACCAGAUUUAGAGCACACAUGGUGCCAACCAUGUGGUAAGCCCCCAUUCCAGCUCCUUGUCUGUGACCUAAAUUUUCAGAGACAGAUUGGAACGUGAAGCUCCACAUGCUGCUACCUUCUGAAUGACCAGUCUCUACUGCUGAGUAUCACGUGUCUGAGUGUAUCCCAGGCUUAAUCAUUGUCACCUGUGCAGAAAGAGCCACAGAGCCUUUAUACGGACUAGAUUCAGAACAGUCUCAGACAAGCUUCCUGGGGGGGGAGGGGGGAGAAAGAAAGGGAAAAAGAACAUGGAAGCCAUGCUUCCUUCAGGGCAUGCAGGGAAACUGCAUUUGGAAAGGUCUGCUUAACACUCAGGUGCGUAUGGCUUGG
rnacentral:lncRNA from 1 species